AGUGGCCAAAGUGUACUUGUUGCUGCUGGUGCCGGAGAUACCAACAUUUGUGGUGGUAUUGUUCAGUUGUAUUGGGAAAGGAUUCUGGGACGAAGCUUAGAUUUAAAUGGCCAAGUUCGUCAAAUUGCCCUCAAGGCCAUAGUAAGCUUGUGGGUUGGUGUUGUGAUUAGUAGCUGGUGCAAUUUCAUAACUGUCUUGUAUGUUGGUAAGUGUUUAUAGAUUUUGCUUCUCAAAACAUUUACAUCUUUAAUUUCUUUGAUGAUAUCAUUUACCUAUAACCACUAAAGAGAUUUAGAGUGUUUUUGGUUGAUUUAGAUAUUUGAUAUCAUUUAGAUAUUUGUACAAUAGUGUUCUUUGAGCGUUCCGAUAUUAUAUGUAGAUAACAAUUGUUUUUGUCGUGCUUGAUUGAAUGUAGAUAACUGUAUAUUUUUCCAUGUCAUUUUCUACUAGAGGAGGAUGAUAAGUUUCUAGAUAAGGUUUGAGCUACAGUUCAGGAAGAGGAAUGUCAAGCCUUUGCUGCAUUUGGUGCCUGUUUCCAAUAUUAAUAAUUGUUUGAAGAAGCAUUUUCGAGACCUUUAAAAUGUCGUGAUCUUUGAAUUUAUAUAAUUCUGUUUGGUUGCAAUUAAUUUUACAAGCGUGUUUUCAUUGUUGGUGGAAUCAGACUUGAAUAAUAUGGGAUUUAUGUGCUUUAAGAUAUGAAUGGGAUUUAUUGUUGCUUUAAGAUAUGAAUGGGAUUUAUGUGCAAGUGCUAAUAGCAUUUUCAUUGU